rnacentral:rRNA from 1 species
AAGAUUGGUGCUUGCACCAAUUUGAAGAGCAGCGAACGGGUGAGUAACGCGUGGGGAAUCUGCCUUUGAGCGGGGGACAACAUUUGGAAACGAAUGCUAAUACCGCAUAAUAACUUUAAACAUAAGUUUUAAGUUUGAAAGAUGCAAUUGCAUCACUCAAAGAUGAUCCCGCGUUGUAUUAGCUAGUUGGUGAGGUAAAGGCUCACCAAGGCGAUGAUACAUAGCCGACCUGAGAGGGUGAUCGGCCACAUUGGGACUGAGACACGGCCCAAACUCCUACGGGAGGCAGCAGUAGGGAAUCUUCGGCAAUGGACGAAAGUCUGACCGAGCAACGCCGCGUGAGUGAAGAAGGUUUUCGGAUCGUAAAACUCUGUUGGUAGAGAAGAACGUUGGUGAGAGUGGAAAGCUCAUCAAGUGACGGUAACUACCCAGAAAGGGACGGCUAACUACGUGCCAGCAGCCGCGGUAAUACGUAGGUCCCGAGCGUUGUCCGGAUUUAUUGGGCGUAAAGCGAGCGCAGGUGGUUUAUUAAGUCUGGUGUAAAAGGCAGUGGCUCAACCAUUGUAUGCAUUGGAAACUGGUAGACUUGAGUGCAGGAAAGGAGAGUGGAAUUCCAUGCGUAGCGGUGAAAUGCGUAGAUAUAUGGAGGAACACCGGUGGCGAAAGCGGCUCUCUGGCCUGUAACUGAUACUGAGGCUCGAAAGCGUGGGGGAGCAAAACAGGAUUAGAUACCCUGGUAGUCCACGCUGUAAAACGAUGAGUGCUAGAUGUAGGGAGCUAUAAGUUCUCUGUAUCGCAGCUAACGCAAUAAGCACUCCGCCUGGGGAGUACGACCGCAAGGUUGAAACUCAAAGGAAUUGACGGGGGCCCGCACAAGCGGUGGAGCAUGUGGUUUAAUUCGAAGCAACGCGAAGAACCUUACCAGGUCUUGACAUACUCGUGCUAUUCCUAGAGAUAGGAAGUUCCUUCGGGACACGGGAUACAGGUGGUGCAUGGUUGUCGUCAGCUCGUGUCGUGAGAUGUUGGGUUAAGUCCCGCAACGAGCGCAACCCCUAUUGUUAGUUGCCAUCAUUAAGUUGGGCACUCUAACGAGACUGCCGGUGAUAAACCGGAGGAAGGUGGGGAUGACGUCAAAUCAUCAUGCCCCUUAUGACCUGGGCUACACACGUGUUACAAUGGAUGGUACAACGAGUCGCGAGACAGUGAUGUUUAGCUAAUCUCUUAAAACCAUUCUCAGUUCGGAUUGUAGGCUGCAACUCGCCUACAUGAAGUCGGAAUCGCUAGUAAUCGCGGAUCAGCACGCCGCGGUGAAUACGUUCCCGGGCCUUGUACACACCGCCCGUCACACCACGGGAGUUGGGAGUACCCGAAGUAGGUUGCCUAACCGCAAGGAGGGCUCUUCGUAAGGUAAG